GUGAAUCAUCGAAUUUUUGAACGCAAAUUGCACUCCCUGGUAUUCCGGGGAGUAUGCCUGUUUGAGGGUCGGCCUAUAAAAAUCGACAUCGUUGCUGUUUCGCGGUAACGUUUGUCGGAAAUUGGGUCAUCUUAAAUCUUUUGGUUUAAGCGACUUAAAAAUUUCUUUUUGAUUCCAUGAACGUUUCUAAGAUUUAUUUCUUUACACGUUUAAGGUAUCGAUUUAUUAGACGUGGCCGUCAUAUCGGAUCGCGUCCAUAAUCUUUCAUUAACUGACCUCAGACAGGUAAGAGUACCCG
rnacentral:misc_RNA from 1 species